CCUACGGGAGGCAGCAGUGAGGAAUAUUUGUCAAUGGACGAGAGUCUGAACCAGCCACGUAGCGUGAAGGAUGACUGCCCUAUGGGUUGUAAACUUCUUUUAUAUGGGAAUAAAAUGUUCCACGUGUGGGAUUUUGUAUGUACCAUAUGAAUAAGGCACGGCUAACUCCGUGCCAGCAGCCGCGGUAAUCCGGAGGAUCCGAGUGUUAUCCGGAUAUAUUGGGUUUAAAGGGAGCGGAGGGGGAUUGUUAAGUCAGUUGGGAAAGUUUGCGGUUAAACCGUAAGAUUGCAGUUGAAACUGGCAGUCUUGAGUACGGUAGAGGUGGGCGGAAUUCGUGGUGUAGCAGUGAAAUGCUUAGAUAUCACGAAGAACUCCGAUAGCGAAGGCAGCUCACUGGACUGCAACUGACACUGAGGCUCGAAAGUGUGGGUAGCAAACAGGAUUAGAUACCCGAGUAGUC
rnacentral:rRNA from 1 species